rnacentral:rRNA from 1 species
UACGUAGGCAGCGAGCGUUGUUCGGAAUUACUGGGCGUAAAGAGUGUGUAGGCGGUGCUCUAAGUUCGGUGUGAAAUCUCCUGGCUCAACUGGGAGGGUGCGCCGGAAACUGGAGUGCUUGAGCGUGGGAGAGGAAAGCGGAAUUCCUGGUGUAGCGGUGAAAUGCGUAGAUAUCAGGAGGAACACCUGUGGCGAAAGCGGCUCACUGGACCAUAACUGACGCUGAUGCACGAAAGCUAGGGGGAGCAAACAGG